rnacentral:lncRNA from 1 species
AAAAUAAUAGAACUCCUUUGUUAAAAUAAAUUUAUUUAAGUUUGACACAAUGUCAAUAUUUAUGAAUAUAGUUUAUUGAAUAACAUUUCAUAAAACAUAUGAAUUACUCAUUAUUAAUUAUUGCAACUCUUCAACUUUAAAGAAAUGUAUGUAAGCACCAGGUAUGCACCUAAAGCACGAACACCUACAAAAUAAAAACAACUUUAGUGAUGAACCAUAUAUAUAUAUAUAUAUAUAUAGAGAGAGAGAGAGAGAGAUUGUUCCAAAAAAGACUAAAUAAAAGAUAAAGAGUAAGUAAAAAAAAAUACCAUUGCUUAUGCGAAGAAUCAUAAUAGUGUUGUUGCUAACAUUUUUUAUAACAAUCGUGUAUGCAUCUAUACAUUUCAUCACCUGCGUAUACCAUACACUCCAUAAAGUUACACUUUAUUUUACAUAAAAUUUUUGAGAGCUUGUUUGGCUUAAUGUCUUGAGAUUGUGUGAUGCCCUCAAUUUGUAUUGUAAAUAUCAUCAUCAUCAAGAUCAUCACAAAACAUUUUUGGAAUUGACUCAUUGCCAUUUCUCUUUUCAAUAUUUUUUCCUUAAACUAAUUUAAAAACCUCAACUUUAUGAUGUUUCGGAGUCACAACAUUUUGGAUU